rnacentral:rRNA from 1 species
UCGUGCCGUGAGGUGUCGGGUUAAGUCCCACUAACGAGCGCAACCCCUACCUUUACGUUGCCAUCAGGUUAAGCUGGGGACGUCUAAAGGAACUGCCUACGCAAGUAGUGAGGAAGGCGGGGAGUGACGUCAAAUCAGCACGGCCCUUACGUCCAGGGCUACACACGUGCUACAAUGGCCGAUACAGAGGGCAGCUACCUGGUGACAGGAUGCAAAUCUCCAAAGUCGGUCUCAGUUCGGAUCGGAGUCUGCAACCCGACUCCGUGAAGUUGGAUUCGCUAGUAAUCGCGCAUCAGCCAUGGCGCGGUGAAUACGUUCCCGGGCCUU